UACGUAGGGGGCAAGCGUUGUCCGGAAUCAUUGGGCGUAAAGAGCGUGUAGGCGGUCCGGUAAGUCGGCUGUGAAAGUCCAGGGCUCAACCCUGGGAUGCCGGUCGAUACUGCCGGACUAGAGUUCGGAAGAGGCGAGUGGAAUUCCCGGUGUAGCGGUGAAAUGCGCAGAUAUCGGGAGGAACAUCUGUGGCGAAGGCGACACCCUGGACCAGCACUGACACUGAGGCACGAAAGCGUGGGGAGCAAACAGG
rnacentral:rRNA from 1 species